rnacentral:rRNA from 1 species
UACGUAGGUGGCAAGCGUUGUCCGGAUUUACUGGGUGUAAAGGGCGUGUAGGCGGGUCUGCAAGUCAGAUGUGAAAUUUAGGGGCUCAACCCCUAAGCUGCAACUGAAACUGUGGAUCUUGAGUACUGGAGAGGGAAGCGGAAUUCCUAGUGUAGCGGUGAAAUGCGUAGAUAUUAGGAGGAACACCAGUGGCGAAGGCGGCUUUCUGGACAGUAACUGACGCUGAGGCGCGAAAGCGUGGGGAGCAAACAGG